UCGGGGAACGAUAACGGCGUCGAGCGGCGGACGGGUGAGUAAUGCCUAGGAAAUUGCCCUGAUGUGGGGGAUAACCAUUGGAAACGAUGGCUAAUACCGCAUGAUGCCUACGGGCCAAAGAGGGGGACCUUCGGGCCUCUCGCGUCAGGAUAUGCCUAGGUGGGAUUAGCUAGUUGGUGAGGUAAGGGCUCACCAAGGCGACGAUCCCUAGCUGGUCUGAGAGGAUGAUCAGCCACACUGGAACUGAGACACGGUCCAGACUCCUACGGGAGGCAGCAGUGGGGAAUAUUGCACAAUGGGCGCAAGCCUGAUGCAGCCAUGCCGCGUGUGUGAAGAAGGCCUUCGGGUUGUAAAGCACUUUCAGUCGUGAGGAAGG
rnacentral:rRNA from 1 species